CUCCACCAAAUCAAAGUGCUCUGAGUCAUGCAGACCCGUAGGGAGGUGUUCACUGAGUCACCAGCCUAUGGCACCCGUUCCGCCAUGCGGUCCUGCGGAUGCCUCCCCACAGUCCCGGCCGGUCGCCUCCGCUGCUCACCACCCACCUGGCUGUGAAGAGACGACAACGUGGGGACAUUACAGCAUCGGGGGAAAGAGAAACGGGAGAUUCAUUUUGCUAUAAAAAGACCUCUCAACGGGACCCAUUUCACAAGGAUGGUGAUGGAGUAAAGCCCUCCUAAAGAAACUAUGUGUCUGCUCAGAGUCAUGCUGGGAAAUUUCCAGAAUCAGGAGCCGUGGGAGAGGAUAUCUGGGAACAUCAGAAGUGAGUAAGUAAAUACUGACUCACUUUCCAUGGGGAACUGGCGCCCUGGAAUCCCAGAGCACAGUUCUGGACCCCAGGCUGGCCUGUGACCGUUUCUAAUGAUUUACCAAAGGCCCACGUGGUCAUUCAGCCACCCGUCAGCACAACGUGCCCUCCGUGCCUCUCUCUGGCGAUGUGUCUAGAGGUAGUCUGGGCCAGCAUGGCAUGUCUCGCCCCGCGGCAUACUUCCUGAGUCUCUCACGACGUCCCCGCGAGGGUCGAUUACUGGUUGGACGUCAGCCCGAAGCGUCCUCCGGGGUCCCCGAGUGCUCCCUAGCCAUUCACCGUGUUUCUUCCUCCAGAAGUGGGGGAGGGGGGACUCAUGCCCUGAGUGUGGCCGCCCCAAACGCGUCGGCUCAUGGCUGCCGUGAACUACGUGUGGAAUUCGAGGGGCUUGCCGGUGUUUGGACGGAGAGCUGGCUCCACAAAGGGCAGAGGGAAGGCAGGGCACAGAUUCUCAGGGCACAGCAAGCUCGGAUGGCGGGGCCCAGCAGACGCCAGCGGAGCUCCUGCGUUAGGAGGACAAGGACCCGGGUGACAGGCCUCCUCUGUGACCCCCUGAGAAAAAAGACCGCAUCCAGCGGGAAGAUCGCCUCGCUGCCGUGGGCCGACACAGACAGCUGUCGUGCAGAUGGGUCCACGUGUGUCCGGGAGGGGCUGUCACCACGUCUGCGUGGCCACGACCACACGAAGCGACUUGAUUGUAAUUCCAGACCCCAUGCUUCUCUGAUCGCACCGUCCGGGAGAGGUCAGACCCUGAGAAAUGUCCUGCUCCAACGCAUCUAAAAAGCCGGGGUAAUACGUGUUUGCGUGUUUUUCAAUGCAUGUUUGCGCUCAUAAGACAAUGAGGAAAAUCUCAGAAGAAACGAAUAAGGCUGGACCCCAAGUCCGGAGAAGUCAGGACGCCCGGAGCCAGAGCACCAGGUGGUUCCCGUCCGCAGAGGGGUCUGUUUAUGUGGACACAAGCCCUUGAUGAGCCUCGUCACACACGGCCGGGACGCCCGGGGACUCACCCGCACGAAUGGUGAAGCAGGGAAAUCUGUCUACUGGACACGGCGAGAGGCACGUGGGGGCACACGGGGUAGACAAGGAGGACAGGUGGCAGGCUCCUGCAGGACGGGGCUGGGGACAGAGCCACCGGAGGAUGCUGGGGAAUGGCGGCGGGGCCACCAGCAGAGGAGGCCGGGAACCCCGGGGCCACCGCAGGGAGGGAUCCCGGGAUUGCAGGAUGCGAGGGCUCUGUCACCCACGGGCAGGGAAGCAGGCUGUCGGUGGGGCCGGGGCUCACCAGCACGGCAGGGCAUAGGGACGCGGGAGGACAGAGGUGAUGGCCGAAUACGAUGCCGCCUCCUUCUGAGAGACGGUGGGGCUCACCACGGGCCCGGUGCUCAGGCAGGAGGCCCAGGUGGCACGUGAGCAGACCCCGGUGGGCGUUUGGAGCAGGAGCUAAGUCCCAGGACACAGCUGACGCAGGACAUGGGGCGUGGGGGUGGGGUGUACGGACGCCUGCAUGGUCCCAGUGGGACCCAGAAACACAGCCGAGAGCGUCAUGUGACUGUCUGGAACCCAGGAGGGAGUCUGAGGUCUUAGACACGGCGCGUGCUUCACCCCGGACCGGCCCAGGGCUGGGAGCGAGCUUCCAGCCAGAAGACGCUGUGUUGGGACGGCUGUCUUCGGAGGCCUCGCUGGCCGCCGCAACAGACGACCACAGACCAGGCGGCUUAAAGAGCAGACACUUUCAUUUUCUCACUGUCUGGAGGCCAGACGUCCGGGAUCAAGGUCCAGCCUCUUUCUUUGGCCCGCAAGUGACCGUCUUCUCCCUGUGUCCUCACCUGGCCUUUCCCCUGCACACGUCCCUGCCGACUCUUCCUCUUCUUACGAGGACACGGGAUUAGGGGCCCGGGAUUAGGGCCCCAGCCUCAGAGCCCGCUUUAGCCUUAUUACGUCCUACCAGGCCCCACAUCCAAUUACAGGCCCAGUGGCGUCAGGACUUCAGUGUAGGAAUUUGGGGGCAAACCACUCGGCACACAGGCUGAGGCCGAGGCAACGAGGUCAGGGUGAGCCCUGGGAACGUUUGGUGCCAAGGGAAAUAAUAAAGCACAGCAAAGAAUGGCCCUCCGGCAUUGCGUCGGCUCAUGGCCCCCUGUGGACACUAUGAGUGCGCUGACAAGGCCCGCUCCCUGAGUGCCCCACGCUCCACGGCCUGUCCUGAGCCAGACGCUCUGACCCUCACGCUGGCCAGCGGGGUGGGCGCCCCCACGUCCUUACCCCGGUGCCCUGGUCCCAGCACUGCCCAGGGGAAGUCCAUUCCCUGUGUCCUCAACGCCUUCCGCCACCUCCCGCGGGACCCAGACAAAGCAUUCCUACCCUGCUUUGGAAGUGCCGUCCGGAUGGCUUCGUCUGCUUUGCCUUUUCACUUCCGAUUUUUCUCCCUUUUAUUUCAAUUUCGAUUUGAUUGUAGCAAAAUAAGUAUAAGCUGACCUUUCGGCCACGCUUCCGUGCCCAGCGCGGUAAGGGCCGCCAGACCAGGAGGGCUGAGGAGGGACGAUAGGGGGCCUCUCCCAGGGAGGGAUCGCCUCGGGCUCUGAGGACCUGGGCAACCUCCUGCGUCCACCUCAUCCACCACUGGCCCACUUAACACCUGCAACCUUGGUCUAAGCUGCACCGGCCAAUAUGGUGGCUGUUAGCCACAUGCGGCCUUUCCAAACUGAGACGUGGUUAGAGUCCAUAAGACCCACCACAUGUCAAGACUGAGCACGGACAGCCAAGAGGAACGUGAUACAUUUCUUUAAUAAUUUGAUAUUGAUUAUGUGUUGAAAUUAUAUUUUAGAUACAUCUGACUAAAUAAAACACAUUAUUUUU